UACGAAGGGUGAAAGCGGUAAUCGGAAUUACUGGGCGUAAAGCGCGCGUAGGUGGUUCAGUAAGUUGGAAGUGAAAUCCCCGGGCUCAACCUGGGAACUGCUUUCAAAACUGCUGAGCUAGAGUACGGUAGAGGGUGGUGGAAUUUCCUGUGUAGCAGUGAAAUGCGUAGAUAUAGGAAGGAACACCAGUGGCGAAGGCGACCACCUGGACUGAUACUGACACUGAGGUGCGAAAGCGUGGGGAGCAAACAGG
rnacentral:rRNA from 1 species